UGGAUUUGUAUGCAAGAAAAAGAAGGAAUCCUACCUCUGUCUGUUGUAACUAUUUAGCUUAAUUGUUUUGAUAGUUUACUUGAUGCUGCUAUUUUCCUUGCUUCUUUGCAGCUACAAUAAGACUUCUCAAGCAAUAACAUAAAGUGUACAGAGAGAACUUCAUUUACCAGCUCGCGGUGGUUCUUCAGAUUGUGUUCGAGAAUCGCUUGCAUGGGGAGUAGAUCGAAUUAAAAGAGAUAUAUGCACGGGACAAUUUCAUAUGCUGUAACAUUCAACUAUAAGCACGGAGCAUGUGCAGCACCACGAAACCCCUUCGUUGGCAGAGCCGCCUUAGGUCUGUCCUUUUUGAAGUUUAUCUGUAAGCUUAAUCCUAAAGCUAAAGUCCUGUUAAAUGGGUAACUUAUGGAUGCUAACAAUGAGCAAGAGAAAAAACGUUAUGGUGCCCGCCGGUUUCAUCCCAUCAGCUACUGAUACCGAAGAUGACGACCAUGUCAUUAGGUGAGUUUUUGUUAAUUUAUGGCUUUCAUUGACAACACAACAACGUUCUUCUUUUCUAGAUAUUGAGCUUAAAAGCUUCACCUCUGAACAGUGGAAAUAUGUGUGAUGGCAAGGUCCAAAACCGUCGACUGAUUUUAAGUGUAUACCUAAUUCUCAGUUGUGCCAGGAAACCGUAUUGUUAGUCGCUAAGUGAUGUCAAAGUAAAAUUAUUUUCCUUCACUUGCUACUGUU